rnacentral:rRNA from 1 species
AUGAUUGAACAUCUUUCGCUUGUCAAUUGGAAUGUGAGGGGCCUUAAUGACGGGGCAAGACGCGCGUCUGUUCGUGCUCUGAUCAAUCGCAUGAGUUGCUCCAUUGUCUGUCUCCAAGAAUCCAAAUUAGCUGUUGUCUCCGAUGCUGAUCGGGUAGAAAUUGUUGGGGCACAGUUUGAUAAACAUGUGGCCCUGAAUGCUGAUGGGACUCGGGGUGGUGUGCUUUUGUGUUGGCACUCAGAGUCCCUAACAGCCAGUAACAUUACAGUGAGAGAUUUCUCCAUCACAGUUUGCUUUACGGCAGCGAACGAAGGCCCCAUUUGGUCUGUGACAACCGUGUAUGGACCUCAUGAUGAUGCGCGCAAGCCGGCGUUCCUUGCUGAACUUGCUGCGAUCCACAACUCCAUGGGAGGGCCAUGGAUUGUGAUAGGCGACUUCAAUCUCAUCAAAGACCCACAGGACAAAAACAAUAGUAGGAUCAGCCGCCGAUGGAUGAAUAAGUUCCGAAGCACGCUUAAUAGAUCAAAUUUGCACGAAAUUCAGUUGAUCGGGUGCUGUUUCAUAUGGAGCAAUGAGCAAGCCUAG